CUGAGAAAAACAAAACAUGUCAAGCUUUUAGCUAUGGUUUCCAGUCUCGCACGAAAACUUUCGCUGGAACACUAGAACUCGCGAAACUUUAGCUAGAACAGCACCAAAGUUUCGGGACAACACCACACCCGAGGUAAAGUUUCGCAAGAACACUUUAGCUCGAACACCAAAAAACUCAUCUUGGUACCUGAGAUUCCGGCAGUGCAGUAGACGAGAGCAAAGAUCAUGCCUCCAAAAGCCCACGCGAUGCCCUGGAUGCCCACUCCAAGGCAGCUGGUGCGAUCGACAUUUCCCAC
rnacentral:lncRNA from 1 species